rnacentral:tRNA from 1 species
GUCGCAUUGGCGCAAUGGUAGCGCGCAAGACUUCUAAUUGAAAUCUUGAGGCUGUGGGUUCGAGCCCCACAUGCGAUG